AGGGCUACAGCUCAGUGGUAAAGAGUGUGCUUAGUAUGCAUGAGGUCCUGGGUUCAAUCCCCAGUACCUCCA
rfam:Camelus ferus unplaced genomic scaffold scaffold2060, whole genome shotgun sequence.